rnacentral:lncRNA from 1 species
CUUGAUCCACUGCAUACUUAACCAAACGGUGAUCUAUGUCAGGAGGUUGCGGAGAUUGAACUUUUCAAGGAGAGUAGGCAACUGUGGAUGUAUUCGACAUCGCUUCGGAGAGUCGAAAGCGCAUGGGAAUUCUUUGCUUGAUUACGUUGGCUCGAAUGAUUUCCAUCUUUUUCGAGAAAGAAAUGAAUAUUAUAAUCUAGAGUUGGGAUUCGGGUGAUGGGAUUUCAUGGUUAAAUUUUAUAUUUUUUUAAUAGUGAAAGGGUUUCCGAAGAGCUUGACAGGAUGACAAUUAUUGCUGAGCUCCGACCGUUCUCUUCGGUGUGAUCCAAUCCAGGAAAGUCCCAAAUCUCACCUGCGUCGCUUUACACUAGAGGUUAAAAUUGUGUUGUGAGGGUAGAUUGCCGAAGCUUCAAUCUGAGACACCCCAGGACGAAAGCUUGUGUUAAGGAUUGUAUUUUCCUCUGAACUAGGUAUGAAGGAUUUCACUACUCUCAAAUUUCCAAUAUCUUACUUCCAUGCUGAGAAGUUCAAUUUUUUAUUCUUUAUCCUGAAUUCUGAGGUGGGUCUCAACUGUUGUUGCAACUGCUUGAAAAAUCACCAAAACGCGCAACUUUAGCGGUCACGUUGACGGUCUUGCACACAACUGAUAUUCGCGUAGCAUCUGACACAAUACCGCAUCUGAAAUUCCCAUCUUCGAAAACAAGACCCAAGAGAAGUUAGGGUUAGGGUUCCCAACCUCUAUUUGGACUAGAAACCAUUUUUUAAGUACUGUUUCAGUGUGAUGUGCACAACUUCACCUGGUUUCUGAUGAACUCUUAGCAGAUUUACAUGCAUGUCUUGUGCAUGUGGAGGCAGAAUAAUGUGGAAUCGAAAGUGAAAGUAGGGGAAGAUCCAACGAAGUUGAGAAGAGGGGUCACAACAGAAGCCUUCGCAUUUUUGGAAUUAUUUCUAACGCACGGUUUUAGUAUAUAUAACACUUGUGAGUGAUUCAUUAAAUGUCAAAAUAACACUAUCUAUAAAUGUUAACUUUUUAAAUAAGAAUAAUUGGAUAUAUAUAUAUAUAUAUAGAGAGAGAGAGAGAGAGAGAGAUAUUAACAAGUCCUUGUUUAUAUGGUAGCAUCAAUAAAGCAAGAUUGGGAAUUUCACAAUUAGGAUUUGAUUUGCUAUUAUCAUGGUAUUAACCUUCUAUAUUACAAUAAUUUAAACCCAA